GAUGAACGCUAGCUACAGGCUUAACACAUGCAAGUCGAGGGGCAUCAGGAAGAAAGCUUGCUUUCUUUGCUGGCGACCGGCGCACGGGUGAGUAACACGUAUCCAACCUGCCCUUUACUCGGGGAUAGCCUUUCGAAAGAAAGAUUAAUACCCGAUAGCAUAAUGAUUCCGCAUGGUUUCAUUAUUAAAGGAUUCCGGUAAACGAUGGGGAUGCGUUCCAUUAGAUAGUAGGCGGGGUAACGGCCCACCUAGUCUUCGAUGGAUAGGGGUUCUGAGAGGAAGGUCCCCCACAUUGGAACUGAGACACGGUCCAA
rnacentral:rRNA from 1 species